UUAGUGCUAACUGAACAUACUGUGCUCUGUGUUACCCUUGGGACAGAACAAGACUGCUGAUGUUGGAGUGGCUGGAGAGGGUCAAUGUGUUUGAGUCCACUGGAGCUACAGGUUUGACUGAGCCACAAUCGGACACUGAAUGUCAGGCUAGUCAGCAGCAUGAGGCGGCACUAAUUAAUAGCGCAGCACUGGGCAGACGACUGGGUGCUGGGUGGUAUCUGUACCCCGACAGAGAGGACAGGACGUGCGCGGAUCAUAGACUGUGUGUACGCCAAAUGGCAUGCGAGCCAUUAUAAUGUGGUCCAACAACUUACGCUUCUCGUUUGGGUUCUACAACUUGUUCAUGCAUUAUCAAGGAUUCAAUAGCUCCCCCUGGUCUGCAUGCUACAAAUGACGUAUUCCCGGACUCUACAAGUCUAUGACCCUGGACCUUGACUAUGACUCUGAUUAUGGAUUUGCCCUUAAAAAGCCUUGUCUUCUCAGCGUAUGCAUCCACCUCAUAAUCACUUCAUGUUACACCACCUAUGUAGAAUUUUCAAAACAAUGUGGCACAUGACUUGUAUGAAAAAAUAAAAUUAAUAAAGUAAUAAAUAUACUGUUACUUACUUUGUAUUUUGGGGCACUCUGGGAUCCAAAGUAGUCAAAACGAGCAUUUAACUGAGCUUUAGAACAUUGUCAUUUUAAAGAGAGCUUUAGAUAUAAAAAAACAAAAUGCUCAUUCACCUCUAGACAAUUUGAGAUCCAUACCUGGCAAUGUUUUAUUCCAGUUGCAUAUUUUAUAAUACAUGUCCACAAAGUCAAUUGGUCUGAUAAAAUAUGUUGUAUAGGAACCUUUGCAGGUAUGAUUCUCACAAAACUUGGUAAUAUUUUCUGUUUUGUAUGUGUGGUUCAGCUAGAAAAAGCAGAAGAAAGGACACAAUGGUUAGACUUUACAGUGAACACACAGUCUACGACACAAGCCCAUAUCACCUGCAGUCCUAGAAUUUUAUGUGUGGUGUCCUUGAGCACAAAUCUAGCAUCAAAUAUGCAAAUAUAACUAGCAGUACCCUUGCAAAGUCUUUCAGAAUUUUUUCAUAUGUCCAUAGAAAUUGUCCAAUGCAAUCAGUACAUUUAUUUAUAUUGUCCCUACAUCCACCCUGAAGUCUUUCUUCAUUCUGCUUCCAGGUGGAACAAAGUGUAUUUAUGACAGAGAGUAAAAUAUGCUCCUCCUAAAAAAGAAACCCAAGAAGAAAGAAAAAUUAUUAACUUCUCAUGACAAAAUGUUGUGCAAACCUUGAGCCAGCUUUUCAAAUUAAGUUUUAAAAGCUUAGAAGGAAUCAAGAAACAAUGGUGAAAAUGUAAUCCAUCACCCCUAGUGGUUCAGGAAGAAGAAUACAGGUCAUGAUCAUAUUUAAUCAUAUCAUUGUUCUUGCAGUUGAGGUAAAAUCAGGUUGGCAACUUUUUUUUUUGACUAGACACUAUUGUUUCUGUUAUAUCUACGUUUUCUUAUAAAUAACAGUAAUUCUCUUUAUGUGUCUCUCCAUUACCAAAACUAAUUCAUAAUAAUGAAAGUAAUAAAUAUAAAUGUGUAUAUAAGAUGCAUUUUUAUUGUGGAAUUCACUCAUAAAGGUUUGGUAAUGUAAUAUAACUCAUUUAUAUUUUUUGGGGGCCAGCAAUCAAAUUUUACUUUUAUUUUAAUAUGCAUGACAACUAUAAAAGUCUGUAUAAAUGAUAAUGUAUCCAUAAAUGUAAUCAUUUUUUGUGUUUUCCACACAUUGUAUUGUAUGUUACUCUUGGUAAUGCACUAGAGUUGUUUGAGUACAAUAAACUAAAAUUACAUAUUAUUUUGUUAUUAUACAUAGAAUAUAAAUGUAUUAUGUAAACAUGGCUGCUUCAUCCUACCUUUUCAGAUUCAGCGGGAGGUGUGAAGUUCUUGACCGCAAUCCAAUGGUCUUUUAAUAAACAUGUUGUCCAUAUAUAUUAAAAAACAAUACAAAUGUUAACCAAGUGUGUAAAUAUAAAACACACAAAUAACUAAUUAAUGAAUAUCAUCUGGAUGUAAAAAGUCCUGAUCUUAAAAUAAUCUUAAUUUAAGAGUCCUUGUACAUUUUAGGGAACCCAGACUAUGUCAAAGACUUAAUAUCAGCACCAUCAUACACCUUUUGGUGUGGAUGUGCUUAUUCUGCACAAAAUAGAUAAAUCUAACUAUCACUGCGCAACAUAAACCUCUCUGAUGAAUUACUUAAAUACUGUACUGUCACAUUAAAAAAUAAAAAUUCCAUUU